rnacentral:lncRNA from 1 species
CGCUUCCUGGGCAGAAGUAAGUUGAAAAAGUGGCCAAGCGGGUGUGCUUUCGAUUUCCCCUCCUGGUGGAUGAAAGUCCUGAGGCAACCCUGGGAAGAUGGAAGUUCCGAGGCAACCUCUGGAUGUGAAAAUUCCUUGGCUGCUGCCAGAAAGAGCCUCAUAAAAUGCACAUCUGAUUAUGCCAUCGGCCUGCUUGAACCUCUUUUGCUUGGUUCCCAUUGCCUUCAGCAUACAGUUCAAACUUCCUAGUAUAACAAACAAGUCUGUUCAUGAUCUGGGCCCCACAGGCCUGUCUGCCUCCCCUCCCUUCCCCGCCACCUUCCUCUAGGUUCAUGCUGUAUCAAACUGCUCAGGGCUCCUCCAACUCACCAGGCUGUGGAAAUUCACCUGCUCUUCAUGAUGCCAGGAGUGCCUCUUCUGGAUUCUCCUUCUUGCCGACUCCUCCUAGGGGUUGCCUAGCUUUCCCUGACCCACAGGCUAAUCAUGAUGCUCAUCCCUGAGCCUCAGAGAUCCCUGCAGAACACAUAGCCAUGCUCCCAGUGUGUGCCACCUGUUUCCCAGUCUCACACCUUCAUGGACUUGCAGCACCUUGACAGUUGGGGCCCCCUAUGGCUGGUGCAUGUAUUGUCUCUGGCAUCAAAUAAUACCUAAUAUUAAAAACUGCA